UUGAAGCUUAUUCUUCCCCAGUUGAGUGUGAGUUUGUAGUUCCCUAGUGAAGUCACCAAUCCCCUAUUUGGUUCAGGUAUUCCAGCCUUUGUUCUGAUUUACCUGUUUCCCCUACAAAUUUCCCUUAUCCCCAAUCGAGUCUUUCCAUUUAUUUAUUUUCAUGGAAAUUUAUCCUCGUGUCUCUAGUAGUUUUUAAGUCAUAGCCUGGCCUAUGCAGAGAAGUUUAUCCCCAGAGUCUCU
rnacentral:lncRNA from 1 species